CGGUCUGAGAGGUCAAUCGAUCACCAGGCGACUGAGACAUGACACCUACUCCUAACUCAUGCAGCAGUAAGCAAUUAUGCUUCUUGCGCGAAACCCUAAACCAUCGAUUCCCCGUGCGCCACGAAAUCCUACGGGAUGUUAAAGUCCUUUUACUCUGUACGAAAUACAUAACUGUAUCGGUGCUAAUAAGCCUCGGCUAACUCCGUGCCAGCAGCCGCGGUAAUACGGGGGAGGCAAGCGUUGUCCGGAAUCACUGGGUGUAAAGGGCGCGCAGGCGGGCCGGUCAGUCGGAUGUGAAAUCUCUCCGCUCAACCCAGAAAGUGCGGCCGAUACUUCCGGUCUAGAGUGCGGCAGGGGAAGAUGGAAUUCCUGGUGUAGCGGUGAAAUUCGUAGAUAUCAGGAGGAACACCGGUGGCGAAGGCGGUCCUCUGGCCCGACACUGACGCUCAGUGCGGGAAAGGUGGGGAGCACACACAGAAUAGAGACACUGGUAGAGUCCCACCCUAAAAGAGAUGCGUAUAUAGGUGUUGGGUCCUGCACGUGUCGAGUCCCGCAGUUAAGCCAUAAAGUACCCCACUGGGAGAGUCGGAUGCCAGGGUAGAAAUUCAAAGGAAUGGCGGGGGACCGCCCCAACCGGGGGACGAUGGGGUUAAAUUAGAAGCCAACCCGAGGACCCUUACUGGGUCUGGCCUCGCAGGAGUACUCCGGAGACACGGCGACCCUCCCUCAAGGGACGCCAGUACAGAUGGUGCAUGGCUGUCGUCAGCUCGUGUCGUGAGAUGUUGGGUUAAGUCCCGCAACGAGCGCAACCCUUACCCUUAGUUGCCAUCCCGCAAGGAGUCCCCUCAAAGGGGACUCCCCCGGCCAACGGGGAGGAAGGGGGGGAGGAGGCCAAUUCUCCAGGCCUUUUUCCCCCAGGGUACCCCCCGUCUUCCAAGGGGGUUGCCAGGGGCAGGCAAAUCCGGGGGGUAGACCCAUUUCAUAAACCCCUCCUCAGUUCGGAUAGGAGUCUGCAACUCGACUCCAUGAAGUCGGAAUCGCUAGUAAUGGCGGAUCAGCAUGCCGCCGUGAAUACGUUCCCGGGCCUUGCACUCACCGCCCGUCA
rnacentral:rRNA from 1 species